rnacentral:rRNA from 1 species
AGUGAACGCUGGCGGUAGGCCUAACACAUGCAAGUCGAACGGCAGCACAGAGGAGCUUGCUCCUUGGGUGGCGAGUGGCGGACGGGUGAGGAAUACAUCGGAAUCUACUCUGUCGUGGGGGAUAACGUAGGGAAACUUACGCUAAUACCGCAUACGACCUACGGGGGAAAGCAGGGGAUCUUCGGACCUUGCGCGAUUGAAUGAGCCGAUGUCGGAUUAGGUAGUUGGCGGGGUAAAGGCCCACCAAGGCGACGAUCCGUAGUUGGUCUGAGAGGAUGAUCAGCCACACUGGAACUGAGAGACGGUCCAGACUCCUACGGGAGGCAGCAGUGGGGAAUAUUGGACAAUGGGCGCAAGCCUGAUCCAGCCAUACCGCGUGGGUGAAGAAGGCCUUCGGGUUGUAAAGCCCUUUUGUUGGGAAAGAAAUCCAUCUGGUUAAUACCCGGGUGGGAUGACGGUACCCAAAGAAUAAGCACCGGCUAACUUCGUGCCAGCAGCCGCCGCCG